rnacentral:rRNA from 1 species
GGUUAAGCGACUAAGCGUACACGGUGGAUGCCCUGGCAGUCAGAGGCGAUGAAGGACGUGCUAAUCUGCGAUAAGCGUCGGUAAGGUGAUAUGAACCGUUAUAACCGGCGAUUUCCGAAUGGGGAAACCCAGUGUGAUUCGUCACACUAUCAUUAACUGAAUCCAUAGGUUAAUGAGGCGAACCGGGGGAACUGAAACAUCUAAGUACCCCGAGGAAAAGAAAUCAACCGAGAUUCCCCCAGUAGCGGCGAGCGAACGGGGAGCAGCCCAGAGCCUGAAUCAGUGUGUGUGUUAGUGGAAGCGUCUGGAAAGGCGCGCGAUACAGGGUGACAGCCCCGUACACAAAAAUGCACAUGCUGUGAGCUCGAUGAGUAGGGCGGGACACGUGGUAUCCUGUCUGAAUAUGGGGGGACCAUCCUCCAAGGCUAAAUACUCCUGACUGACCGAUAGUGAACCAGUACCGUGAGGGAAAGGCGAAAAGAACCCCGGCGAGGGGAGUGAAAAAGAACCUGAAACCGUGUACGUACAAGCAGUGGGAGCACGCUUAGGCGUGUGACUGCGUACCUUUUGUAUAAUGGGUCAGCGACUUAUAUUCUGUAGCAAGGUUAACCGAAUAGGGGAGCCGAAGGGAAACCGAGUCUUAACUGGGCGUUAAGUUGCAGGGUAUAGACCCGAAACCCGGUGAUCUAGCCAUGGGCAGGUUGAAGGUUGGGUAACACUAACUGGAGGACCGAACCGACUAAUGUUGAAAAAUUAGCGGAUGACUUGUGGCUGGGGGUGAAAGGCCAAUCAAACCGGGAGAUAGCUGGUUCUCCCCGAAAGCUAUUUAGGUAGCGCCUCGUGAAUUCAUCUCCGGGGGUAGAGCACUGUUUCGGCAAGGGGGUCAUCCCGACUUACCAACCCGAUGCAAACUGCGAAUACCGGAGAAUGUUAUCACGGGAGACACACGGCGGGUGCUAACGUCCGUCGUGAAGAGGGAAACAACCCAGACCGCCAGCUAAGGUCCCAAAGUCAUGGUUAAGUGGGAAACGAUGUGGGAAGGCCCAGACAGCCAGGAUGUUGGCUUAGAAGCAGCCAUCAUUUAAAGAAAGCGUAAUAGCUCACUGGUCGAGUCGGCCUGCGCGGAAGAUGUAACGGGGCUAAACCAUGCACCGAAGCUGCGGCAGCGACACUAUGUGUUGUUGGGUAGGGGAGCGUUCUGUAAGCCUGUGAAGGUGUACUGUGAGGUAUGCUGGAGGUAUCAGAAGUGCGAAUGCUGACAUAAGUAACGAUAAAGCGGGUGAAAAGCCCGCUCGCCGGAAGACCAAGGGUUCCUGUCCAACGUUAAUCGGGGCAGGGUGAGUCGACCCCUAAGGCGAGGCCGAAAGGCGUAGUCGAUGGGAAACAGGUUAAUAUUCCUGUACUUGGUGUUACUGCGAAGGGGGGACGGAGAAGGCUAUGUUGGCCGGGCGACGGUUGUCCCGGUUUAAGCGUGUAGGCUGGUUUUCCAGGCAAAUCCGGAAAAUCAAGGCUGAGGCGUGAUGACGAGGCACUACGGUGCUGAAGCAACAAAUGCCCUGCUUCCAGGAAAAGCCUCUAAGCAUCAGGUAACAUCAAAUCGUACCCCAAACCGACACAGGUGGUCAGGUAGAGAAUACCAAGGCGCUUGAGAGAACUCGGGUGAAGGAACUAGGCAAAAUGGUGCCGUAACUUCGGGAGAAGGCACGCUGAUAUGUAGGUGAAGUCCCUCGCGGAUGGAGCUGAAAUCAGUCGAAGAUACCAGCUGGCUGCAACUGUUUAUUAAAAACACAGCACUGUGCAAACACGAAAGUGGACGUAUACGGUGUGACGCCUGCCCGGUGCCGGAAGGUUAAUUGAUGGGGUCAGCGCAAGCGAAGCUCUUGAUCGAAGCCCCGGUAAACGGCGGCCGUAACUAUAACGGUCCUAAGGUAGCGAAAUUCCUUGUCGGGUAAGUUCCGACCUGCACGAAUGGCGUAAUGAUGGCCAGGCUGUCUCCACCCGAGACUCAGUGAAAUUGAACUCGCUGUGAAGAUGCAGUGUACCCGCGGCAAGACGGAAAGACCCCGUGAACCUUUACUAUAGCUUGACACUGAACAUUGAGCCUUGAUGUGUAGGAUAGGUGGGAGGCUUUGAAGUGUGGACGCCAGUCUGCAUGGAGCCGACCUUGAAAUACCACCCUUUAAUGUUUGAUGUUCUAACGUGGACCCGUAAUCCGGGUUGCGGACAGUGUCUGGUGGGUAGUUUGACUGGGGCGGUCUCCUCCUAAAGAGUAACGGAGGAGCACGAAGGUUGGCUAAUCCUGGUCGGACAUCAGGAGGUUAGUGCAAUGGCAUAAGCCAGCUUGACUGCGAGCGUGACGGCGCGAGCAGGUGCGAAAGCAGGUCAUAGUGAUCCGGUGGUUCUGAAUGGAAGGGCCAUCGCUCAACGGAUAAAAGGUACUCCGGGGAUAACAGGCUGAUACCGCCCAAGAGUUCAUAUCGACGGCGGUGUUUGGCACCUCGAUGUCGGCUCAUCACAUCCUGGGGCUGAAGUAGGUCCCAAGGGUAUGGCUGUUCGCCAUUUAAAGUGGUACGCGAGCUGGGUUUAGAACGUCGUGAGACAGUUCGGUCCCUAUCUGCCGUGGGCGCUGGAGAACUGAGGGGGGCUGCUCCUAGUACGAGAGGACCGGAGUGGACGCAUCACUGGUGUUCGGGUUGUCAUGCCAAUGGCACUGCCCGGUAGCUAAAUGCGGAAGAGAUAAGUGCUGAAAGCAUCUAAGCACGAAACUUGCC